GACGAACGCUGGCGGCGUGCUUAACACAUGCAAGUCGAGCGGGAUAAUUUGAGAGCUUGCUCUUGGAGAAUCCAGUGGCAAACGGGUGAGUAACACGUAGACAACCUGCCGACAGGAUGGGGACAACAUUCCGAAAGGAAUGCUAAUACCGAAUGAAGUCGAGGGAGGGCAUCCUCCUUCGAUGAAAGAUGGCCUCUGAAUAUGCUAUCACCUGUCGAUGGGUCUGCGUCUGAUUAGCUGGUUGGUGAGGUAACGGCUCACCAAGGCGACGAUCAGUAGCCGGUCUGAGAGGAUGAACGGCCACAUUGGGACUGAGACACGGCCCAGACUCCUACGGGAGGCAGCAGUGGGGAAUCUUCCGCAAUGGGCGCAAGCCUGACGGAGCAACGCCGCGUGAGUGAAGAAGGUCUUCGGAUCGUAAAGCUCUGUUGACGGGGACGAACGUGCGGAGUGCGAAUAGUGCUCUGUAAGACGG
rnacentral:rRNA from 1 species